rnacentral:rRNA from 1 species
UACAGAGACUGCGAGCGUUAUCCGGAUUCACUGGGUUUAAAGGGUGCGUAGGCGGGCAGGUAAGUCCGUGGUGAAAUCUCUGAGCUUAACUCAGAAACUGCCAUGGAUACUAUUUGUCUUGAAUGUUGUGGAGGUAAGCGGAAUAUGUCAUGUAGCGGUGAAAUGCUUAGAUAUGACAUAGAACACCAAUUGCGAAGGCAGCUUACUACACAAAUAUUGACGCUGAGGCACGAAAAGCGUGGGGAGUCAAACAGGAAUUAGAUUACCC